UCCCUUAAAAUCUAAUCCAAAUCUGUUAAGGUCCUCGAUCAUAAAGUAAUAGCCAUCUUUAUUUCCUACAAAGUUAAGGCUCACCUUUUCAAUAUGAUUCGACCGAUCACUUAUCCUUCGUUUGCACAGCCGUCCAAUCCGGAAGUAGCUUAAUUGUAUAAAAUAAGUGGGUCAGUUAAAGAAAUAGACUCCCACUCGUAGUGCUAUUUUGAAACAAUAAAGUUACUUGUACA
rnacentral:lncRNA from 1 species